UACGUAGGGGGCUAGCGUUGCUCGGAAUUACUGGGCGUAAAGGGCGCGUAGGCGGACAUUUAAGUCAGAGGUGAAAGCCCAGGGCUCAACCUUGGAAUUGCCUUUGAUACUGGAUGUCUUGAGUUCGGGAGAGGUGAGUGGAACUGCGAGUGUAGAGGUGAAAUUCGUAGAUAUUCGCAAGAACACCAGUGGCGAAGGCGGCAUCCUGGACCAACACUGACGCUGAGGAGCGAAAGCCAGGGGAGCAAACGGG
rnacentral:rRNA from 1 species